CCUAGUAACUGCGAGUGAAGCGGGAAAAGCUCAAAUUUAAAAUCUGGUAGUCCUUGCGGCUGCCCGAGUUGUAAUCUAGAGAAGCGUUAUCCGCGCUGGACCGUGUACAAGUCUCCUGGAACGGAGCGUCAUAGAGGGUGAGAAUCCCGUCUUUGACACGGACUACCAGGGCUUUUGUGAUGCGCUCUCAAAGAGUCGAGUUGUUUGGGAAUGCAGCUCUAAAUGGGUGGUAAAUUCCAUCUAAAGCUAAAUAUUGGCGAGAGACCGAUAGCGAACAAGUACCGUGAGGGAAAGAUGAAAAGAACUUUGGAAAGAGAGUUAAACAGUACGUGAAAUUGUUGAAAGGGAAACGCUUGAAGUCAGUCGCGUUGGCCGGGGAUCAACCUUGCUUUUUUGCUUGGCGUACUUUCCGGUUAAUGGGUCAGCAUCAAUUUUGACCGGUGGAUAAAGGUUAGGGGAAUGUGGCAUCCUCGGAUGUGUUAUAGCCCUUGGUCGCAUACAUCGGUUGGGAUUGAGGAACUCAGCACGCCGCAAGGCCGGGUUUUUAACCACGUACGUGCUUAGGAUGCUGGCAUAAUGGCUUUAAUCGACCCGUCUUGAAACACGGACCAAGGAGUCUAACAUGCCUGCGAGUGUUUGGGUGGAAAACCCGAGCGCGUAAUGAAAGUGAAAGUUGAGAUCCCUGUCGCGGGGAGCAUCGACGCCCGGACCAGACCUUUUGUGACGGUCCCGCGGUAGAGCAUGUAUGUUGGGACCCGAAAGAUGGUGAACUAUGCCUGAAUAGGGUGAAGCCAGAGGAAACUCUGGUGGAGGCUCGUAGCGAUUCUGACGUGCAAAUCGAUCGUCGAAUUUGGGUAUAGGGG
rnacentral:rRNA from 2 species